AUUAUUUCCUACUUAGGUCAGGAUUGACAACUCUAAAAUCACCCCUUCUAUUCUCAUCGUGUACAAGUGUUUUAGAAUUAUUCAAUGAAGUUUUUUUCUCACAAAGCUGUCUUUGCUUUAUUUAUCCUUAGAUUUUGAAUUAAGUCUUGUGUUUCUUAAUGUCUUGUAUUAGAUCUUAUUUAUUUUUCAAGUGUUUGAUCGUGUAUUAACUUUUUCUUGUGCUACAUGCUGCGUCAGAUGGCAUCAAAGCAGGGAUUUCACCUUAAUUAAGAUGCCCAAUACUGGUAGUAGUAGUGGCAACCAACCUCGUAACGGUGAUCGAGGGUUACAAGUUGUUUAGAGAAUCAUUGACGAACAACGAACAUCUACUCGCAAUAUUGAGAAGUAACCGCUAAAUAUUCGAAAACUAAUGCGAACUUUAUUAGGAGUUGGUGACCAUGAGACUGGGAACAAUGUAUUGGAUUAAGCCAGAAGAAAUAGCCACAGUAGAUUCAACAAUAAACUUGCUUUUUUAAAUCUAGAGAGAGCAAAAGUUGAACAAAGAGAUCAACUUGAAACAGAAAAACAACCUGAAGUUGAAAAUCAUAAGCUUGAAGGAUUUGAGCUUAAAGAAUCUGAAGCUUUGGUUGUAUUGCCUUUUGCUGUGGCGGAUGAUGAUAAGCUUAAAUUGGAUUUUCUUAAACAAUCUACUCUAGAGGGAGAAGUUUAUAUUAAUGAGAUGGAGUAAGAGUAGAUGGAGGAAAAUGUCCAAGGGAUUGAAGAACAACAAACCAUGGAGAUUUCAAUGGGAAUUGAAGACAAACAAUCCAAGAAGACAAUGAAAAUCGAAGAAACUCAAAUUAUGGUAGAGAAUGAAGAUUUUUCUAACUCUUUAAUUUCUAUU
rnacentral:misc_RNA from 1 species